rnacentral:tRNA from 1 species
CGACCAGGUCGGUGAUGCCGUUGAGCCGGGUCGCGUAGCGGGCGACGACCGCGUCAUACCAGCCCGUGCGCCGCUCGCGGCCGGUCGUC